rnacentral:rRNA from 1 species
UGGGGAAUUUUGGACAAUGGGCGAAAGCCUGAUCCAGCAAUGCCGCGUGUGUGAAGAAGGCCUUCGGGUUGUAAAGCACUUUUGUCCGGAAAGAAAUCCUUGGCUCUAAUACAGUCGGGGGAUGACGGUACCGGAAGAAUAAGCACCGGCUAACUACGUGCCAGCAGCCGCGGUAAUACGUAGGGUGCAAGCGUUAAUCGGAAUUACUGGGCGUAAAGCGUGCGCAGGCGGUUUGCUAAGACCGAUGUGAAAUCCCCGGGCUCAACCUGGGAACUGCAUUGGUGACUGGCAGGCUAGAGUAUGGCAGAGGGGGGUAGAAUUCCACGUGUAGCAGUGAAAUGCGUAGAGAUGUGGAGGAAUACCGAUGGCGAAGGCAGCCCCCUGGGCCAAUACUGACGCUCAUGCACGAAAGCGUGGGGAGCAAACAGGAUUAGAUACCCUGGUAGUCCACGCCUAAACGAUGUCAACUAGUUGUUGGGGAUUCAUUUCCUUAGUAACGUAGCUAACGCGUGAAGUUGACCGCCUGGGGAGUACGGUCGCAAGAUUAAAACUUCAAAGGAAUUGACGGGGUCAUAGCUGUUUCCU